UACGGCCACAUAGCCUUGAAACACCGGUUUCCGUACGUUCACUGAAGUUAAGCAACAUCAAGCCAGGUUAGUACCUAGAUGGGUGAGCGCUUGGAAAUACCAAG